GCGAGGAGCGAGAGGCUUUUACCGGCGAACACAGGCGGGUCUUUACUCUCGGGCACGACUCUGUUCUGAUGGACCUUCAGUUCGACAACAUACAGAGAUCAUGAAGGACAUUUCUGACAGAGAACAACACAAAAUCAUGCUUUGCUCAGUGUUUCGAAGAAUAAGCGCGCUCAUGUAAGCGGAGAGCCCGUUCAGGGCCCCGGGUCGGGUUUCGGGCCCUGCGGGCGUCAUCUGAUCCCCGCUGGCAGAGACACAACGGCCUGAAACUUCCCUGAGCUGGACACAUCUGUGGAGCAGCACCUGAAGAGCGUUUCCAUACAGACGUUCAGCUCACAGAUGCUCUGAAACACGCUUAACAAAGGUUCUGCAUGUAAAAGAAGUCAGCUGUGUUUGCUCUGUGUCAGCGGGUUCACAAGAGUGUUCCAGUUCUUCAUAAGAUUCAUUUACACUGGAGUGCUGUGAAAAGAUGAAGUGCUUCUGUUGGCCACUAGAGGGAGAUGAAGCUUCAUUUAUGUGUCCUGUGAGUUCUGCGCGUGUGCAAAAGAAGCACUGUGAUCUUGAAUGAUUACUGUAUUCAUAUUUACUCCAAUGUAAAUAAAGAAAUACUGUGGUAAUACCAUG